rnacentral:rRNA from 1 species
GAUGAACGCAGGCGGCGUGCCUAAUACAUGCAAGUCGAGCGAACGGACGAGAAGCUUGCUUCUCUGAUGUUAGCGGCGGACGGGUGAGUAACACGUGGAUAACCUACCUAUAAGGCUGGGAUAACUUCGGGAAACCGGAGCUAAUACCGGAUAAUAUUUUGAACCGCAUGGUUCAAAAGUGAAAGACGGUCUUGCUGUCACUUAUAGAUGGAUCCGCGCUGCAUUAGCUAGUUGGUAAGGUAACGGCUUACCAAGGCAACGAUGCAUAGCCGACCUGAGAGGGUGAUCGGCCACACUGGAACUGAGACACGGUCCAGACUCCUACGGGAGGCAGCAGUAGGGAAUCUUCCGCAAUGGGCGAAAGCCUGACGGAGCAACGCCGCGUGAGUGAUGAAGGUCUUCGGAUCGUAAAACUCUGUUAUUAGGGAAGAACAUAUGUGUAAGUAACUGUGCACAUCUUGACGGUACCUAAUCAGAAAGCCACGGCUAACUACGUG